rfam:Mus musculus chromosome 18, GRC primary reference assembly.
UGUCCCUUAGCAAUGGGCAAACAGACUCUUUGUUUGUGGUGGUGUUCUUGUAUCAAUCAGUGGCAGAGCAGUUGGCAGUUCUUUGAUCAUCCUAACUUGAUGCCUGGCUUGGUGGCCAAACCUGUUUUAUGCCUAGAACACCUAC